AAGUAAAAAAAUCAGCAAGAGGACAAGCGCCCAGACAGUUAGAAGAGAAAAAUAGAUCGAUCUCUUUUUAGAUAUUUUCUUCCUCAUAAUACCAAUUCUUUUUUCUUUU
rnacentral:ribozyme from 1 species